rnacentral:miRNA from 1 species
GUGUGUGUGUGUGUGUGUGUGUGUGUGUGUGUGUGUGUGUGUGUAUAUACAUAUACACAUACACACACACACACACCCUUCACCUGC